rnacentral:rRNA from 1 species
UGAUCCAGCCAUGCCGCGUGUGUGUAAGAAGGCCCUCGGAUUGUAAAGCACUUUCAGUGGGGAAGAAACCCUUGGGGCCAAUACCCCCGAGGAAGGACCUCACCCACAGAAGAACACCGGCUCAACUACCCGUGCCGGCAGCCGCGCGUAUUACGGAGGGUGCCAGCGUUAAUCGGAAUGACUGGGCGUAAAGCGCGCGUAUGUGACAUUCCAUCAGCCUUAUUGCUGAAAGCCCCCGGCUCAACCUGGCAAACGCAUCCACAACUGUCAAGACAGAAUGUCCGAGAGGAACGUAGAAUUCCCCGUAUAUCGGUAAGAUGCCUAGAGAUCAAGACGAAUACCAGUGGCGAAAGCGACCUUCAGGACUGACACUGACACUGACGUGCAAAAUCAUAUGUACCGAACAUGAUUACAUACCCUGGUAGUCCCCGCCUUAAACGAUGUCGACUAGCCGUUGGGAGCCUUCAGUUCUUAGUGGCGCAGUUAACGCGAUAAGUCGACCGCCUGGUGAGUACGGCCCAAGGUUAAAACUCAAUGAAU